rnacentral:rRNA from 1 species
GAUGAACGCUAGCUACAGGCUUAACACAUGCAAGUCGCGGGGCAGCAUGGGGGUUGCUUGCAACUCCCGAUGGCGACCGGCGCACGGGUGAGUAACGCGUAUCCAACCUGCCCUUCACCACGGGAUAACCCGGCGAAAGUCGGACUAAUACCGUAUGUUGUCCAUUGACGGCAUCCGAUUUGGACGAAAGGCUUUGCGGUGAAGGAUGGGGAUGCGUCCGAUUAGCCAGACGGCGGGGUAACGGCCCACCGUGGCUACGAUCGGUAGGGGUUCUGAGAGGAAGGUCCCCCACACGGGAACUGAGACACGGUCCAGACUCCUACGGGAGGCAGCAGUGAGGAAUAUUGGUCAAUGGGCGUAAGCCUGAACCAGCCAAGUAGCGUGCAGGAUGACGGCCCUAUGGGUUGUAAACUGCUUUUAUGCGGGGAUAAAGUGGCCCACGUGUGGGCUUUUGCAGGUACCGCAUGAAUAAGGACCGGCUAAUUCCGUG